rnacentral:rRNA from 1 species
AUGGAAAGUACUUUGAAAAGAGGGUGAAAAGCACCUGAAACCGUCACGGGGGAAGCGGAUUGCGUGAGUGAGGUGUGGUGUCUGUUCAGCUGCGGAAAUUGUUUUGUAGUGUAUUCAGCACUAGCCGUGCCAGAGUGGCUGCUCUGAUUUCAGAUGGUGUGAAAUUGGGUGGUGAGGGCUCCCAUGUUGAAUGGUGAGGACUUUGGCGAAAUGACGCGACCCGACCCGUCUUGAAACACGGACCAAGGAGUCUAGCACGACUGCGAGUCGAAGGGUGUUGAAAACCCAUUGGGCGAAGUGAAAGCGAAACAUUUGGAAAUCGGAUACAGAUUGGGGAGGUGUGGCGUCGUUGACAAUAUAUCCUACCCUGAGCAGUUGUGCUGGGACCCGAAAGAUGGUGAACUAUGCCGGAAUAGGGCAAAGCCAGAGGAAACUCUGGUGGAGGCUCGUAGCGAUGCUGACGUGCAAAUCGCUCGUCGAAUUUGGGUAUAGGGGCGAAAGACUAAUCGAACCAUCUAGUAGCUGGUCCCUCCGAAGUUUCUCUCA